CGCCCACCCCUCUGCUUCCCGUGCGCAGUGCGGUGAGCUGCUUCUCCUCCGCCAGGCACCCUGCCCUGCCCUCUUGCCUGGGAGCCAGCUGAGCAGGACAGAAACCUGAGCCAGUGAGGGAAGUGACCAACACAGAGGCUGCUGGCACAGCAACUCACACAGGAAGUAAACCUAGGGUCUCUGGGCUUUUGCUGUGUCUGAAAGCAGCCUUCACCAAGGAACAGUUCCUGCUCAUCACCCCCAACUUUAACCACGGGGCUCGCGUGCCGUGCUUGGAUCCUGUAGGAUGGAGGAACCUGCAUAAUAUGCAAAGUAUUUCAGACUGGAUGAGCCGGCAUCACACACAGGAGGCUGCUGGGAAGGCCCGGGACACAUGCACCUCCACGCCGACCAAAGCCCUCGGUCACCCACAGGUUGGCAGGCGCUUUUGAAUAUGCCGCACGGAGACAUUUGGGAAGUGAACGAAUGCUUUUCCUGUCUCACAUUAGAAAAUAACAGCGGUGUUCCUGAGGCGAUUUACAGCUUCUUAGAAUGGUAAACUGAAGACUUUCCCAAGCCUCAGAGGGUGUGAGAGCUCACAAUGCAGAAUUCACUCCUCCUUGGACACAGUGGGGUCUCUACGGUUGUGAGAAUGGACCAUUUUGAAAAGAAAAAAGAAGUAAAAUCCCAGAAGAGGAAAAUCUGUGAAGACAGAGAGGAGUCCAGUGGUCACCUAGGCCGGCGGAAGGACGGGGGGUGGUCACUCGCAGGAGGGGUGUUUUGAUCUGGAUGGCAAAGUGACCUAAGUUUAACUGUGGCUGUAAUCGCACAGCUCUGCCUGCAUGUGAGGGUCCACCGGAUCUUGCCUUUUAAGUCUUUAAAUUGUGUGGCAUACAGAUUUGUGGUUUAAUAAAGUUGCUUUAUUUAAAAAAGAAUAA